ensembl:lncRNA
UUUUUUUUUCCAUUCAAGAGAAUUAAGUCGUUUAUUGAGUACACAUGAUAAUGGAUGAUACACAAGCUUCAUUCCAUCUGUUAUUUUAUCUGAUACCGUUAUUCAAUUUUGAUAUUGCAUAGGGUGUGCCAACAACCAUUUUAUAACCAAAUUGUGAUCUUGCUUGGAUGACCCUUUAAAUGGUGAAACUAAUUAAUUUACAACAGUAACUGGCAGUUUAGCAACACCAAGGUUUUUGAAGACAAUGGCUUCUCCACCCAAGCAACCAUAAAUAAAUUCCAAAUGGAAUUUGGCACCACACUGAAGGAAUUCUAACUUCACACUAUUGGGGAAGUUUACCAAGAUGGCUUCAGAGUAGACUAACUUUACACAGCACAUUUAAAAAAAAGACACAUUUAUUCAGCGUCAUGAUCAGACUUUUACAUUUAGCAAUCAACAGCAUGGGUGAAAAAGGUCUACAGUAAAACCCUUCGUUGAAAUGCUUUACACUUUCCACAGAACAGAAACUAAAAUAACCUGUUAUACAAUUAGUCACAGAUACAGUCUUGGAGUUUUUGCCCACACACAUGAGUAUUGUCUAAAACAUGUCUUCCUUGUAGCAGCUAGGCCCUGCCACCACUGUGCUUGGCUAAGUUCACAAAUCUGUUGUAACCUGUAGCUUCCCUGUCACUUCUCUGGCUCUCCUCUCCUGCUAAGCUUUGUUUCCUGGCUAGCUCCUGCCUCCAAAGUUUCCUCCUUUCAUCGGUCCAAAAUUUGAUGACUGGUUGUUGUAAUUGCCAAAAUCAUUGUAGCUUCCACCACCUCCAAAAUUGCUUCCACUACCACUGCCAAAGCCGCCUCUGCCUCCUCCGUUGUUAUAGCUGUCAUAGCUGCCACUCCCGCCAUAGCCACUGCCCUGGUUUCCAUAACCCUGUCCACCACUUCCAUAGCCUCUGCUUCCUCCAGAGUAACCAGGGCCGCCUCCUCCAUAACCACCAUCAUUGACAAAUCCAUUAUAGCCAUCCCCACUGCCACCAUAUCCACCACCACCAUGACUGCCACCAAAGCCACCACGACCACUGAAGUUCCCUCCUCGACCAAAAUUGUCAUUGCCACCGAAACCACCUCCAUGACCACCACGAAAGUUUCCGGAACCACUUCGACCUCUCUGGCUGGAUGAAGCACUAGCCAUAUCUUGUUUCAACUCUUGUUUCACAGUUGUGGCCAUUCACAGUAUGGUAUUUCUGAAUAACAAUCUUAUCCACAGAGUCAUGGUCAUCAAAGGUGACAAACGCAAAUCCCCUCUUUUUUCCACGGCCUCUGUCAGUCAUAAUUUCAAUCACUUCAGUUUUCCCAUACUGCUCAAAAUAAUCUCGUAGGUGAUGUUCUCAGUGUCUUCUUUAAUACCUCCAACAAAGAUCUUCUUCACAGUUAAGUGGGCACCUGGUCUCUGAGAAUCUUCUCUUGACACAGCUCUCUUAGGUUCCACAACUCUUCCAUUCACCUUCUGUGGUCUUGCAUUCAUGGCAGCAUCCACUUCCUCCACAGUGGCAUAUGUGACAAACCCAAAGCCUCUGGAUCUUUUGGUGUUUGGAUCUCUCAUUACCACACAGUCGGUGAGUGUUCCCCAUUGCUCAAAAUGGCUCCUCAGACUCUCGUCGGUUGUUUCGAAGCUCAGCGCUCCAAUGAAGAGCUUCCGCAGCUGUUCCGGUUCCUUGGGGGACUCUGACUUAGACAUGACAGUAGGAUGAUGAGAGCGUUCAGCGAUGCUUCCUCGCCAGCGUCAAAGAGUAGAAAG